rnacentral:rRNA from 1 species
GGGGUUUCCCUUCGGGGCUGGUUCACAGGUGGUGCAUGGUUGUCGUCAGCUCGUGUCGUGAGAUGUUGGGUUAAGUCCCGCAACGAGCGCAACCCUCGUUCCAUGUUGCCAGCACGUAAAGGUGGGGACUCAUGGGAGACUGCCGGGGUCAACUCGGAGGAAGGUGGGGAUGACGUCAAAUCAUCAUGCCCCUUAUGUCUUGGGCUUCACGCAUGCUACAAUGGCCGGUACAAUGGGUUGCGAUACUGUGAGGUGGAGCUAAUCCCUAAAAGCCGGUCUCAGUUCGGAUUGGGGUCUGCAACUCGACCCCAUGAAGUCGGAGUCGCUAGUAAUCGCAG